rnacentral:rRNA from 1 species
CAGUAGCCGCGGGAAUACGGAGGGGGCUAGCGUUGUUCGGAAUUACUGGGCGUAAAGCGUACGUAGGCGGCUUUGUAAGUUAGAGGUAAAAGCCUGGUGCUCAACACCAGAACUGCCUUUAAGACUGCAUCGCUUGAACGUCGGAGAGGUGAGUGGAAUUCCGAGUGUAGAGGUGAAAUUCGUAGAUAUUCGGAAGAACACCAGUGGCGAAGGCGGCUCACUGGACGACUGUUGACGCUGAGGUACGAAAGCGUGGGGAGCAAACAGGAUUAGAUACCCCCGUAGUCCCUGUCUCUUAUAC